rnacentral:tRNA from 1 species
GCCGGGAUUCCUGAGCCUGGUACAGGGCAGUCCACGCCAGCCUGUGGUCCUUGCGGGCCGCGUGGGUUCAAAUCCCACUCCCGGCGCCA